rnacentral:rRNA from 1 species
AUUGAACGCUGGCGGCAUGCUUUACACAUGCAAGUCGAACGGUAACAGGCCGAAAGGUGCUGACGAGUGGCGAACGGGUGAGUAAUGCAUCGGAACGUGCCCAGUCGUGGGGGAUAACGCAGCGAAAGCUGUGCUAAUACCGCAUACGAUCUGUGGAUGAAAGCGGGGGACCGUAAGGCCUCGCGCGAUUGGAGCGGCCGAUGUCGGAUUAGGUAGUUGGUGGGGUAAAGGCUCACCAAGCCGACGAUCUGUAGCUGGUCUGAGAGGACGACCAGCCACACUGGGACUGAGGCACGGCCCAGACUCCUACGGGGGGCAGCAGUGGGGAAUUUUGGACAAUGGGCGCAAGCCUGAUCCAGCAAUGCCGCGUGCAGGAAGAAGGCCUUCGGGUUGUAAACUGCUUUUGUACGGAGCGAAAAGGCUCUCUCUAAUACAGGGGGCUCAUGACGGUACCGUAAGAAUAAGCACCGGCUAACUACGUGCCAGCCGCCGCCGUAAGAC